UAUACCCCCUACCGUUCGGGUAACAUGUUAAUUGUAUUGUUUUAUUUGCAGGUAAGUGACCUUUUUCAACAUGGCGGUCUCACUGAAUCUCCACGCGGGUCUUCAAACUGUCUCUUGUCUUCUUAUUGGUCAGGACCGAAUUCUAUUAGCGGAAUCGCAUGAAUAACUUCUCGGUUGGUGCACGAUGAAUGUUCUUCUUUUGGUGAGAAGAUUAAACGCAUGGCAUGAUGAAUGGUGUGGGCUGUUGACAGUUUGAUGAUGGCUAUUUAUGAUACAGACGGAUCGCAGAACAUUUUCGUGGCUGAUGCUCCGCCCGACACCACCGGAUAUCACCGUGCACCUGAGUCCAGUUGGUCCUUUGUCGAUAUGAAUCCGUGGCGACGCAGCUUUUGCGAUGAUUGGUGAUGACGAAACAGAAGAAUUGCUACAACGCAGCACUAGAAUAUCUACCGUUCACAAGACGGGUACUACUUUAUAAACAGCCUGCAAAAAAAAAAGCUGUUCCGCAUUGGAACAAUAAGACAGUGAACAAAUUGUGUUUAGAUUUUGUGACUAGAUCGUUGCAAAUUGUGGGUAAAGUGCAAAAGGAAUUUGUGGGGGUUUAGCCGGGCAAUGAUUAUGGGAAAAACUCAUCACAAACAUUUUGUUACAUUGUGUACUUUAAGAAUGGUAACUGUACUUAAUUUCGUGUUUGAUUCUGUACUUGUGUGAAAGAUAUUUUUCAUUUAAAAUUUUAACAGGAAAUUUGAAUUCAUUCUCACAAAAGUAUAUUCAAUAUUAAGCUGUUAAAAGGUAAUAUCGUUUCCAUUCUUGUCGAUUUUGUUUCGUGUAAAGUAAAUUAAAAUAAUAUUAUGACCAUGACAUGUUUUAAUAUACCUAAGGGUAAGUGGUUCAGUAAUAACACUGGUCAUGGUAAGUGAAAACCACCUGGUUAAUAUUUUAGUUUCAAACAUAUAAUACUAAUAAGGAUUAAUUUAAAUCCAUCAGACUUGUAAAUAUUUGAAUAAAUUAGGAGUUAUGAUAUUAUGUCACUCCUCCGAAUCUAAAAUAUUUGUAUGGAUAUUCAAUUACUUCAUCCCUCGAUAUGUGAAAUAUUUGUAUGAAAUAUUCAACACAAAACAUAGAAAGCCAGGUCAGGAAGUACUAGUUCAAUAUUAUUUUAAAAUGAUACGUGGCAGAUAUCCGUUGUAUUACAAAAUGUGUACUCUCUUCUACUUGUGUGAUAAUUCAAAGUUUAUAUACGUAAAAUGAAUUCAACAGCAAACGCAUUAGUCCAGCUGAAGAUACAGCAUUGAUAUUAUUAGGUAUGUAAUUUAAGAACAACGAAGGGAAACUGGCGGAUUAAAAGUUUUCUGUGCUAUGUAUAGCAUCCUUAUCGUGUUCAUAUUGUCAUUAGCUGCAGUAGUCAUGAGAAACUUACACGAAGAGUCAGCCAUACUACUUAAUCUUAAACAGCAUUGUUGCUAUUAAUAAUAGUGAUAGGACUCAGUAUACGUAAAUAUACAAUUAAACGUCUCAGUGUUUGUUGUAUGUUGGGAAAGUCUCCCAUUCCAGUUGUGUGCUAUUUUUUGUUUACUUUUUUCUCUUGGAGAUUUGUUUUUAAAUAUAUUGUUAAAAUGUUUUUGUUGCUUACAUGUUGCUCAACGUAUACAAGUUUUUUCAACUCAUGUCAACUAUGUGUGUUAUUGUAUGUGUGUGAUUGUAAUUUAUUUUAAUAAAAAGUCACAAGUUUUGAACAUAA